CACAAUCCGUGAGCAGAAUACACGAUGAGGAAAGAGACUUUAUUUUGUAUGUUGAUGGUGUUCACGGUAUUAUGUCUAAUCGGCAACACUAAUGCACAGAAUAAUACUACCACCGUUGAACCAGGUACCACAGAGCAAAAUAAUGACACGGUGGUAGUGCAGACGACAAUGGCGAGCGGGAAUUCAACCGAAGGUUCUGCCGGGAGCCACUACGUUGCGUUACCACUCGUCAUUUUAUCACUGUUAACACUUCUUCCAUAAGUGUCCAGCAGCUAGAAAAUGAUCUGUGUAAAGAUGAUCUACUGCCAGCGUGAAACCAAAGAAUCUUGCAAGUACAAACUACAGCGACUUUGAAUGAAGACAUUUACUUACUAGAUUCUUCUUUUUUUCUUCUCACACCCUAAAGUAUUUCCUCAAAAUAUAUUGUAAACCGUUUAAUUUUCACUGCCAGAAAUGUUUGCGAUUUGUGAAACUUAUGGCAUUCCUGAAGACAAAAUUUCGCGAAAGUCAUUGAAGCUUCGCGUCGUGAGACAUCGAAGAAAUUUUCACUGCUAAAAAAUUUCGUGAUUUCCACUGAUUUGCGAAAAAUUGUCUUUUGCAAAUAUGAAGCAGUUUAACAGUACACAAUAUCACCACGCCCUAAAUUUAAGGUUUUGUUAUACUAAACGUCCCGUUGUCCGGGUGUGCACUCUUCCGUUGAACACAAAAUAAGACUAUAUUUGGAGAAAAGUACUACCUCUUUGUUAAACCCACUUUCAGAAAAUCAAUAAUAAAAUACUCUUCAUAGAUAUCUCUAUGACGAAGAUGUUUUGGACUGAAUACUAAAAUAAGUUGUACGUUCUAUGACUGCUAUUCUGUUUUGAUUUUCUUUUGUAAAUUCGCAGGAAAUUUAUUUCUGACCCUACAUUUUGUAGCACGUCGCCCAUAAUGCCGUGCGUAACUGUGGCCAAGUAACAGUGAAUCUCGAAACGCAGUCGAAAACAUACGAUUAUUCUCAGAUUGUUUACAAACUGAUAUUUGUAAAUCGGUUAUUUUGCUAUUUGUAAUUACUUGUUUUUGUCCUUUGAAGUUCGGAUCUAGAUUAAUAAUAUAAUGUAUACUGGAGGGAAUACAUAAUUAAUAUAACAAUAAAUAGAAAAUGCGUGCUGAUUUUAUGACUGCUUAUAUAGGGGUAUGACGGUACCUACGAAUAAGGGACGUGACACUGGGCAAUGUAAAGCCCCAAUGAUUUCGGACCCGAUAUUUCCCUAUAUAGGACGAGGCCCAUGUAUCAAGACGUAUUUUAUUAUUGUAUUACUAGUAAAUGGUGCAAAUAUGUUUUUUGUUCAGACGUUACCCUGGCUCAAUGAGGAUCAUUUCAAAAAUACACACAAGACAUUGCAAUCGUCUUUGUAUUGUUACAAUGUUAGAAAUAAAAUUCAAGAAAAGUACAGU